GACUCGGCGGUUUAAUGGUAAAGCGCUCGUCGCGGAGCCAGAGAAUCCUGGGUUCGAACCCCGGAGGGGUCU
rnacentral:tRNA from 1 species